rnacentral:rRNA from 1 species
UACGUAGGGUCCGAGCGUUGUCCGGAAUUACUGGGCGUAAAGAGCUCGUAGGUGGUUUGUCGCGUUGUUCGUGAAAACUCACAGCUUAACUGUGGGCGUGCGGGCGAUACGGGCAGACUUGAGUACUGCAGGGGAGACUGGAAUUCCUGGUGUAGCGGUGGAAUGCGCAGAUAUCAGGAGGAACACCGGUGGCGAAGGCGGGUCUCUGGGCCGAUACUGACGCUGAGGAGCGAAAGCGUGGGGAGCAAACAGG